UACGUAGGGUGCAAGCGUUAAUCGGAAUUACUGGGCGUAAAGCGUGCGCAGGCGGUUAUAUAAGACAGUUGUGAAAUCCCCGGGCUCAACCUGGGAACUGCAUCUGUGACUGUAUAGCUAGAGUACGGUAGAGGGGGAUGGAAUUCCGCGUGUAGCAGUGAAAUGCGUAGAUAUGCGGAGGAACACCGAUGGCGAAGGCAAUCCCCUGGACCUGUACUGACGCUCAUGUGCGAAAGCCAGGGGAGCGAACGGG
rnacentral:rRNA from 1 species